AACAGCCGCGAGGGGGUCUAACGGAGCGUCAGACCCGCGCGUGCCCAGUAGACUGCCGGGCUGGGCUGUCCUUUGCUUGCUAGAGCGUUUGCGCGGCAAGGGAGCCGUUGGGGUCGGAGGCAGGUUCUGAGGUUCAGCUGCUCUGCUCCAUAUAGAUCCAUCGGGGACAGUGAGAGACCUUGGACCGCCGAAGGGCUCUGAGCAUGACCGCAAAGCGGUGUGGCCUGGGCCGGUGGCUUCAAGUGCUGUCAAGCUCCUUUGAUUAGGGCCUCUGGCAGCAGCAGUCGCGGGUGGCGCCUGUUCUAACCUCAGACCCUAGGGUGGUCAUCCCAGUCGUGCACCCUGUGGAAGGUCUGCAUCCUCGGGAGAUCCUGGCUGGUUACCAUGGUAUCAUGUACCCUGUGGAAGGUCUGCAUCCUCGGGAGAUCCUGGCUGGUUACCAUGGUAUCAUGUACCCUGUGGAAGGUCUGCAUCCUCAGGAGAUCCUGGCUUGGUUAUCAUGGCACCCUGUGAGACUAUGCUACCACCUCAUGAAUAGACAUAAACCUCAUGCACAAUGACCAACCCAAGGUCCUUCACUGCUGCCGUUUCUCAAGUUUGCCAGCUCCUGCCAUCUUUGAAGUAUACUAUUUAACUAUUGGCUAAAUACAUCUGACUUGCUAUGGU